UACGUAGGCAGCAAGCGUUGUUCGGAGUUACUGGGCGUAAAGGGUGUGUAGGCGGUCCUCUAAGUUUGGUGUGAAAUCUCCCGGCUCAACUGGGAGGGUGCGCCGAAAACUGGAGGGCUAGAGUACUGGAUGGGAGAGUGGAAUUCCUGGUGUAGCGGUGAAAUGCGUAGAUAUCAGGAGGAACACCUGUGGUGUAGACGGCUCUCUGGACAGUAACUGACGCUGAGACACGAAAGCGUGGGUAGCAAACAGGAUUAGAUACCCUGGUAGUCCACGCCCUAAACGAUGCAUACUUGGUGUGGGUCAUUCAUUUGAUCCGUGCCGGAGCUAACGCGUUAAGUAUGCCGCCUGGGGAGUACGGUCGCAAGGCUGAA
rnacentral:rRNA from 1 species